rfam:Trichobilharzia regenti genome assembly, scaffold: TRE_scaffold0104095
GCACUGUUGAAGAGUCCCAAACUAGGACGAAACAGCUGUCCAGUAC